GAUGAACGCUGGCGGCGUGCCUAAUACAUGCCAGUCGAGCGAACAGACGAGGAGCUUGCUCCUCUGACGUUAGCGGCGGACGGGUGAGUAACACGUGGAUAACCUACCUAUAAGACUGGGAUAACUUCGGGAAACCGGAGCUAAUACCGGAUAAUAUAUUGAACCGCAUGGUUCAAUAGUGAAAGACGGUUUUGCUGUCACUUAUAGAUGGAUCCGCGCCGCAUUAGCUAGUUGGUAAGGUAACGGCUUACCAAGGCAACGAUGCGUAGCCGACCUGAGAGGGUGAUCGGCCACACUGGAACUGAGACACGGUCCAGACUCCUACGGGAGGCAGCAGUAGGGAAUCUUCCGCAAUGGGCGAAAGCUUGACGGAGCAACGCCGCGUGAGUGAUGAAGGUCUUCGGAUCGUAAAACUCGGUUAUUAGGGAAGAACAAAUGUGUAAGUAACUAUGCACGUCUUGACGGUACCUAAUCAGAAAGCCACGGCUAACUACGUG
rnacentral:rRNA from 1 species